AGACCCGAAACCCGGUGAUCUAGCCAUGGGCAGGUUGAAGGUUGGGUAACACUAACUGGAGGACCGAACCGACUAAUGUUGAAAAAUUAGCGGAUGACCUGUGGCUGGGGGUGAAAGGCCAAUCAAACCGGGAGAUAGCUGGUUCUCCCCGAAAGCUAUUUAGGUAGCGCCUCGUGAAUUCAUCUCCGGGGGUAGAGCACUGUUUCGGCUAGGGGGCCAUCCCGGCUUACCAACCCGAUGCAAACUGCGAAUACCGGAGAAUGUUAUCACGGGAGACACACGGCGGGUGCUAACGUCCGUCGUGAAGAGGGAAACAACCCAGACCGCCAGCUAAGGUCCCAAAGUCAUGGUUAAGUGGGAAACGAUGUGGGAAGGCCCAGACAGCCAGGAUGUUGGCUUAGAAGCAGCCAUCAUUUAAAGAAAGCGUAAUAGCUCACUGGUCGAGUCGGCCUGCGCGGAAGAUGUAACGGGGCUAAACCAUGCACCGAAGCUGCGGCAGCGAACGUAUCACCCAAGACAACUUUACGGAGUUGACGAUUGACGGAGCGAAGCGACGUCAAAGCGUUCAUUAAAGUCGAGUUGGCUUAGGGAUACGUUCGUUGGGUAGGGGAGCGUUCUGUAAGCCUGUGAAGGUGUGUCGUGAGGCAUGCUGGAGGUAUCAGAAGUGCGAAUGCUGACAUAAGUAACGAUAAAGCGGGUGAAAAGCCCGCUCGCCGGAAGACCAAGGGUUCCUGUCCAACGUUAAUCGGGGCAGGGUGAGUCGACCCCUAAGGCGAGGCCGAAAGGCGUAGUCGAUGGGAAACGGGUUAAUAUUCCCGUACUUGGUGUUACUGCGAAGGGGGGACGGAGAAGGCUAUGUUGGCCGGGCGACGGUUGUCCCGGUUUAAGCGUGUAGGUGUGUGUUCCAGGUAAAUCCGGUUCACUUUAACACUGAGGCGUGACGACGAGGCACUACGGUGCUGAAGCAACAAAUGCCCUGCUUCCAGGAAAAGCCUCUAAGCAUCAGGUAACACGAAAUCGUACCCCAAACCGACACAGGUGGUCAGGUAGAGAAUACCAAGGCGCUUGAGAGAACUCGGGUGAAGGAACUAGGCAAAAUGGUGCCGUAACUUCGGGAGAAGGCACGCUG
rnacentral:rRNA from 2 species